rnacentral:lncRNA from 1 species
CAACGGGUUAGGGUUAGGCAACGGGUUAGGGUUAGGCAACGGGUUAGGGUUAGGCAACGGGUUAGGGUUAGGCAACGGGUUAGGGUUAGGGUUAGGCAACGGGUUAGGGUUAGGGUUAGGCAACGGGUUAGGGUUAGGGUUAGGCAACGGGUUAGGGUUAGGGUUAGGCAACGGGUUAGGGUUAGGGUUAGGCAACGGGUUAGGGUUAGGGUUAGGCAACGGGUUAGGGUUAGGCAACGGGUUAGGGUUAGGGUUAGGCAACGGGUUAGGCAACGGGUUAGGGUUAGGGUUAGGGUUAGGGUUAGGGUUAGGCAACGGGUUAGGCAACGGGUUAGGGUUAGGGUUAGGGUUAGGGUUAGGGUUAGGCAACGGGUUAGGCAACGGGUUAGGGUUAGGGUUAGGGUUAGGGUUAGGGUUAGGGUUAGGGUUAGGGUUAGGGUUAGGGUUAGGGUUAGGGUUAGGGUUAGGGUUAGGGUUAGGGUUAGGGUUAGGGUUAGGGUUAGGGUUAGGGUUAGGGUUAGGGUUAGGGGUAGGGUUAGGGUUAGGGUUAGGGUUAGGGUUAGGGUUAGGGUUAGGGUUAGGGUAAGGGUUAGGGUAAGGGUUAGGGUUAGGGUUAGGGUUAGGGUUAGGGUUAGGGUUAGGGUUAGGGUUAGGGUUAGGGUUAGGGUUAGGGUUAGGGUUAGGGUUAGGGUUAGG